GUGUCAGCAGCCGCGGUAAUACGUAGGCAGCAAGCGUUGUUCGGAAUUACUGGGCGUAAAGGGUGCGUAGGCGGCGCUGUAAGUUUGGUGUGAAAUCUCCCGGCUUAACUGGGAGGGUGCACUGAAAACUGGAGCGCUCGAGUAUGGGAGAGGAAAGCGGAAUUCCUGGUGUAGCGGUGAAAUGCGUAGAGAUCAGGAGGAACACCUGCGGUGUAGACGGCUUUCUGGACCAUCACUGACGCUGAGGCACGAAAGCGUGGGUAGCAAACAGGAUUAGAUACCCUGGUAGUCCACGCCCUAAACGAUGCAUACUUGGUGUGGGUUCUUCACUGGAUCCGUGCCGGAGUUAACGCGUUAAGUAUGCCGCCUGGGGAGUACGGUCGCAAGGCUGAA
rnacentral:rRNA from 1 species